GACGAACGCUGGCGGCGUGCUUAACACAUGCAAGUCGAACGGAGCGAAUGAAAGCUUGCUUUUAUAAGCUUAGUGGCAAACGGGUGAGUAACACGUAGGCAACCUGCCGACAGGAUGGGGACAACAUUCCGAAAGGAAUGCUAAUACCGAAUGAAGUCGAGGGAGGGCAUCCUCCUCCGAUGAAAGAUGGCCUCUAUAUAUAAGCUAUCACCUGUCGAUGGGCCUGCGUCUGAUUAGCUGGUAGGUGAGGUAACGGCUCACCUAGGCGACGAUCAGUAGCCGGUCUGAGAGGAUGAACGGCCACAUUGGGACUGAGACACGGCCCAGACUCCUACGGGAGGCAGCAGUGGGGAAUCUUCCGCAAUGGGCGCAAGCCUGACGGAGCAACGCCGCGUGAGUGAAGAAGGUCUUCGGAUCGUAAAGCUCUGUUGAUGGGGACGAACGUGCCUAAUGCGAAUAG
rnacentral:rRNA from 1 species